AGGGAAUAUUGGGCAAUGGGCGAGAGCCUGACCCAGCCAUGCCGCGUGCAGGAAGAAGGCUUUCUGAGUCGUAAACUGCUUUUGACAGGGAAGAAUAAGGUGUACGUGUACACUGAUGACGGUACCUGCAGAAUAAGCACCGGCUAACUCCGUGCCAGCAGCCGCGGUAAUACGGAGGGUGCGAGCGUUGUCCGGAUUUAUUGGGUUUAAAGGGUGCGUAGGCGGCUUUUUAAGUCUGGGGUGAAAGCCCGCUGCUCAACAGCGGAACUGGCCUGGAUAAUGGAGAGCUUGAGUACAGACGAGGUUGGCGGAAUGGACGGAGUAGCGGUGAAAUGCAUAGAUACCGUCCAGAACCCCGAUUGCGAAGGCAGCUGACUAGGCUGUUACUGACGCUGAGGCAAGAAAGCGUGGGGAGCGAAC
rnacentral:rRNA from 1 species